UACACGAGUGGCGCACGGGUGAGUAAUACUUGGGAACGUGCCCUUCAGUCGGGAAUAACAGCGGGAAACUGCUGCUAAAACCCGAUAUUCCCUCCGGGGGAAAGAUUUAUCGCUGAAGGAUCGGCCCAAGCCAGAUUAGGUAGUUGGUGGGGUAAUGGCCUACCAAGCCUACGAUCUGUAGCUGGUCUGAGAGGACGACCAGCCACACUGGAACUGAGACACGGUCCAG
rnacentral:rRNA from 1 species